GUUGCUUCGACAGUACGUAUACCAAAAUUGAAACGCUACAGAAAAGAUUGGCACGGCCCUUGCGCAAGGAUGACACGCAGAAAUCCUAAAGCAGAUUUUU
rnacentral:snRNA from 1 species